rnacentral:rRNA from 1 species
ACAUGUCUACAACAUAGAGUUAAUGCAUCGGAUCCCAUUAUAAAUCUGUAGUUAAGCGCGCUCAGGCUAGAGUAGUACUAGGAUGGGUGACUGCCUGGGAAGUCCUAGUAUUUUACAUGCC